GUGCUCUAGUUGAAUUUUCUGCUUAUCUAUGUAAAAUGUGACACUAUUUAUGAAUAAUAAUUGAGUUUAGCAUCGUGCAGAAAUAGGAAGAUUCAUACGUGUAGGUUGAAUAGAGAAUUUAGAAGUUCAAUCCCAUACCCUAUGAUUCACAACUUCCUUUAACUGUAUAAAUUACAAUUUGGGGUGUUUAAGCCGAUAAAAGAAAUGAUUUAGGAUGUGGUGAUUCCGUGCAUGUUGAAAAUAACUUUCUAAUAUGGACUAGGUGAUGACCAAAUGCUAGGGAUCUAAAUCUCUAUUAAUUUUGCUUCUCUUUUAUAGAAAAUAAGCAUUGCACUUAUUUAGGAUAUGCCUUACAUCAGUACCUUUUUUACUUGAGUUAGUCAAUCUGUAGGGGUAUUUCAAAACUUGGGGAGUUAUCUACUAAAACCUCAUUACAAAGGUCAAGAAGGAGAAUAUUAAGUUGAAAAGAAAAUAUGAAAAUAAAUAAAAAGAAAAAAAAAUCUAUAUGCAGGUUCCCAAAUAAGAGCUAAUUGUUGGGGCUUAGAUAAUUUCUGGGUUCGACUCAACACUUAUAAUUUGGGAGAAUCAUCACAUAAAUAAAUUGUUGAUGUUAUCGACUUGACUUAACCAAAUUAGAGGGGUGUAAGAAUUUGAUAAUUGAAAGUAAACUUUAGAAUUACACCUUGGAGAGAGAAUGAAAGAAAACAACUUUGGGAGUAUGUGAAUCUUACGAGCGAAGAAAGAAAAUAAUUGACUAUAGAGGAUUGAUGAUUGAAAAUUGAACUCACUUGUGAAUGUACAACGUUUCAUUUGAUUCUUCACACACACCCCCUAUUUUACAUUGGAUAACUAGAAGUUUAGCUCUUGCAUUGUGAUUUUGAAGCCGUUCAUAAACAUUAUAUGAUGUUCUUAAUACUAAGCCAAGAGGCAAGCUUCUCACUAAGUUUUGUUUUUGCGUUCCUUGGAUGUUUUCUUUUUCAUUGUGUUUGCUUCAAGGAAAGGAAACUAUGAAGUUUGGAGGCAUUUGAUAAAUGCAUUUAACUCACGAAUUUUAUACUAUUUUAACUUGAUUAUUGGCUAGAUUUUAUGAGUACUGAAUAUGUUUAUAGUAUUUGUUAGUGUUGUUUUAUAGGUUUGGUGAGGUGGUGUUUAUGUAAAAGUGUAGAAAAUAGCUAUUGACAUAAAUCGAAGAGAAAAGAGGAACAAAGGGGCAAAAUAGUUAAAUUCCUACCAGAACUCGACACCCAAGCACAAAGAAGAGCAAAAGAUCAAAAUUUCCCUAGGCGUGGCUCCUCAACGCCAUUUGAAGAAACAGGAAAAUCAACAAUUGUGGCGUCCUUGCAUCACCAUUGAAAAUGAGAACCUGAGUUGCCACCCUGCUUGAAGAUGCAGUGCCGUAGUGCCAUUAUAUGGUGCCUAGGCGCUGCAUGCUGUCGUCUAGGAUGCAGAUUUUUAGCCACAUUAAAAGCCCAGAUUGACUCCACAUUCAGGCGAAAGGUUAGAGGAAUUAUAAAUACAUAGGAGUAAUCACUUUUUGAGGGGUUCCACACUUUGAGAAACAAGAGAUACAAUUUGAGAAUUAGGAUAACAAAUCAAAAGAGAAAAAAUUCAGAAAUCGAGGUUUUGAAGAUUGACUGGGGCAAGAAGAUCAUCUUGGUGCGAGAUUCAUCUGCUUAUCUUCAUCUUUAUUCAACAUCUAGUGAUGUUCUCAAUGGAUAUCUAUUGUUUUUCUUCACACAUUAUGAGUAGCUAAAUCUUUUAUUAAGACAAAUAAUGUAAUCUAUUUGAGAUCUUUUAUUUCUUUUAUUCAAGAUUCUAGUUUAUUGAAAAGCA
rnacentral:lncRNA from 1 species